AGUAUUCUUUGCCUCAAGUGGGAAGGAGUUGGGAAAGUGGAAAUCCCCAUGAGGCUGUAGAUUUCUGGGGUUUGACCAAAACCAAGGGGAAGAGAGGGUUUGGAUAGAUUUAGUGAAGAGGUUGACGUUGAGAAGGUUCUUUGAUUUCUGGACCUCCCACAAAGAGUUUGCCCCUUUGAUUGACCAAGUUUUGAGCAAAAUAUAACACCUCUUGCAGACAUAAGUUGUUGACCAAUCCACUGCAGUAGAAGAAAGUCUACUGGUCGAAAUGAUUUAUGUAUUGAAUAUACGCCUAAAAUAGUGCAAAACCAUGGUAUUAGUCAAGAAAAACAUCGUGCUACAUCAAGCUUCAACAAAGGAAAUUCUCAACGCAAGCUAGAUCAAGAGAUUUUCGAUCGAACCAGAUUUAAGCCAUCAAACAACCAAAGAAGUUUGUGCAGUAAUGAUGGCAAAUGUUUAGAAAACUUGAUUACAGCAGGGAUUCCACUUUACAGGAGAGCUCAGAAGCAACAGUCUAUGCAAUCUUCUGCACAACUGUUGGUUAUUUUCAUCAGAGUGUUAGGCUUCAAUGGCUAACACAUAUACACAAUUGUUUAUUGACAUAACAUUUCCUUUAUUUCAAUUUGCUGCCAUUUGCUCCAUGUUAAUGCUCAUCAAAUCAUCAAGUUGUUGACAAGUUAAUUUCAUUGAUAAACAACUUUCUUUGAUGAUGGAAAAAGAAGUUUGCAGCUGCCGAAGAUAAAUGCUAUUUUGUAUAUAGCAAAACGUUGAAGCAAGAGCCAAGGGAUAACAAAGCGCGGGCGCUGUUGCUAGU